UAAUGAGCCACUACCAUCCACCACUCC
rnacentral:misc_RNA from 1 species